GCGAGGAUGGCGGAAUAGGUAGACGCGCUGGAUUUAGGAUCCAGUUCGCACUGUCGAGUGGGGGUUCAAAUCCCCCUCCUCGCA
rnacentral:tRNA from 1 species